CCCUUAGAUGUUCUGGGCCGCACGCGCGCUACACUGACGAUGGCAACGAGUUUUUCCUUCGCCGAAAGGUGUGGGUAAUCUUUUGAAACAUCGUCGUGCUGGGGAUAGAUCAUUGCAAUUUUUGAUCUUGAACGAGGAAUUCCUAGUAAGCGCGAGUCAUCAGCUCGCGUUGAUUACGUCCCUGCCCUUUGUACACACCGCCCGUCGCUACUACCGAUUGAAUGGUUUGGUGAGGACUCCUGAUUGGCGCCGCCGCCCCGGCAACGGAGCAGCGGACUGCCGAAAAGUUGUUCAAACUUGAUCAUUUAGAGGAAGUAAAAGUCGUAACA
rnacentral:rRNA from 1 species